rnacentral:rRNA from 1 species
AUGCUUCCUCUGCUCAUGACCCAAGGGAAAACGAAAGGAGAGAUGCAGGGGGUGGAAGAGAGGAAGAAGGAGAAAGGAGGGAGAAGGAGGUGCUGCGGGGAGGCACUGGAGGGUGGGGGCGGAGUGAGCGAGGGCGAAGAGGAAGGAGGAGGCGGUCGAGGGGCUCGGUGGUGGCCUCGAUCUGAUCUGGAUCGAGACCUCUGCGGGGAGGCCUUGAAGCAGCGGCGGCCAUUGAGAGGGAUUGGAGUGUCGUUCCUCGCUGGACAGAGAGUAGGAGAGAGAAGAGAGGAAGGAAAUCGGGAGCGUGGGGAGAUAUGGGGAUGA